rnacentral:miRNA from 1 species
AUCCGAUGGAUCCAAAGGAUCCGAUGGAUCCAAAGGAUCCGAUGGAUUAAUAGAUAUAUAGAUAUUUAUCCAUCGCAUCCUUCGGAUCCAUCGCAUCCUUCGGAUCCAUCGCA